GAAUCAUUCACAAUGGGCGAAAGCCUGAUGGUGCGACGCCGCGUGAGGGAUGAAGGUCUUCGGAUUGUAAACCUCUGUCACUGGGGAGAAAACGCUUCAGGUUAAUAGUCUGAAGCCUGAUUUAACCCGGAGAGGAAGCAGUGGCUAACUCUGUGCCAGCAGCCGCGGUAAUACAGAGACUGCAAGCGUUAUUCGGAUUCACUGGGCGUAAAGGGUGCGCAGGCGGCCGGGUGUGUCAGAUGUGAAAUCCCGAGGCUCAACCUCGGAACUGCGUCUGAAACUACUCGGCUAGAGUACUGGAGAGGGUAACGGAAUUCACGGUGUAGCAGUGAAAUGCGUAGAUAUCGUGAGGAACACCAGAGGCGAAGGCGGUUACCUGGACAGUUACUGACGCUCAGGCACGAAAGCAUGGGGAGCAAAAGGG
rnacentral:rRNA from 1 species